rnacentral:ncRNA from 1 species
CGGCGGUCAGGCGAUGAAGCUCCGCCUGACCGGUGCCUCCGGACACCGGUGCCCCCGUGCCGAACGGCACUGAUGGCUUCUACCCACAG